UGCAUCUAUUUCUUCCUGGGGCCAGUUC
rnacentral:piRNA from 2 species